rnacentral:rRNA from 1 species
GACGACGGCUGGCGGCGUGGAUUAGGCAUGCAAGUCGAACGGUAGGAUACCUUCGGGUAUCUGAGAGUGGCGAACGGGUGAGUAACACGUAGGUGAUCUACCCUCAAGAUUGGGACAACCCAGGGAAACUUGGGCUAAUACCGGAUGAAAGCAGCAGUGAUGUUGUUUGAAAGGUGGCGUAAGCUGCCGUUUGGGGAUGAGCCUGCGCUCUAUUAGUUAGUUGGCGGGGUAAAGGCCCACCAAGGCGAUGAUAGAUAGGCGGCCUUAACGGGUGGUCGCCCACACUGGGAUUGAGAUACGGCCCAGACUCCUACGGGAGGCAGCAGUCGAGAAUAGUCUACAAUGGUCGGAAGACUGAUAGUGCGACGCCGCGUGAACGAUGAAUCCCUUCGGGGUGUAAAGUUCUUUUAUAUGUGAGCAGUGCUUCUUAUAUUAACAGUAUGGGGAGAGAGAUAUUAGCAUAUGAAUAAGCAACGGCUAACUCCGUG